rnacentral:lncRNA from 1 species
CUACCCCACACAGUCCUUUGCGAUUUUCCUCUCCCACUUUGGGAGCCAGUGGAUGAAGAGGGUGGAACCAUAGAAUAGAAGGAACCCAGAUACAGAUCACUGUUCAGAGGAGAGCUGCCUGCCAGUCAGGAAGACCCAUUUUGGACUUUAUAAAUGCUCUGACCUUAAAAGGAAUAUUGGAGGCAGGAGGAAACAGAGGAAGCAAGAAGAAUUUCCUGGAAGGAAGAUGACCACGGCCCCUCUGUUCCCUCGCCUGUGUGCCAAAUGGAUCCACAGCUAGAGACAAGCUCCUUCCCUUUGAACGGUGGGAAGCAGGCCAAGAUGUUUUAAAGACAGAUGGCAUCAGAUGCAGAGAAGCAAGCUGGAACUCGGAGCACAGCUGCCUUAUUUACUUACCUACUGGCUGCAUUUCUGAGAACCAGUUUUAUUCCUGUUCAAAGGAAGCCAGGCAGAGUUGGGAAAAUAUUUUCCUAGCCAGCUCCUUAGCACCACUGUCUGAGGGAAACCAUCUGGCCAAGAUGCCCUUCAACAUCACCGAGAACUACUGCCAUCAGCUAUAUAAUGAAACUAUUUUUAAGCAACAACAACAGCAGCAGAGAAGAGGGACCAACAGGGUCCAAUGCAUCAGAGGGGUCCAAACUGGUAAGCACUGAAAAAUAUCUAUUGAAUCGGACAAUUAGGAGGACUAACCUCCUCAAGAGUAAGUUCCUGCAGUUUGCUGGAUAAAGGGCAUCAGAGCGCCGUGGGUUGGGUUGAGGACAUCUUCUCCCUUACAGCCUCCUGGUUCUUCUCUCAGAAAAACUUCUCCUCCUUCCCAGCUCAAUCCUAUUUAUUUAUUUUAAAAUUUAUUGUGUAUAUUUAAGGUAUACAACAUGCUGUUAUAGGAUACACAUAGUUAGUAAAAUAUUUACUAUAGCAAAGCAAAUGAACAUCUCUGUCGUCUCCGCACAGUUACCCAUUUUUGUUGCUUUUGUGGCAAGAGCAGCUACAAUCUAGUCAUUUAGUAGGAAUCCCAAGUACAGUGCGAUUUUAUGACCUACAACCAUCAUGGUGUACAUUAGAUCUCUCCACACACCUGUUACAUUGUAUCCUCUGACCUACGUCUUCCCAUUUCUUCCUCCCAUUCCUCCCCAGCCUGCUUCCACCCCAGUAACUGCUGUUUUAUUAUCUGCGUCUGCACAUUUGAUUUUGUUUUUAGAUUCCACAUGUAAGUGACAUCAUGCACUAUUUUUUUUUCCUGUCUGACGCAUUUCACUCAGCAUAGUGUCUUCCAGGUUAAUCCAUGUUGUGCCAAACGACAGGACCUUCUUUUUAAAGGCUGAAUAAUAUUCCAUUGUAUACAGAUGCCACAGUUUUUUAAAUCCAUUCCUCCAUCGACACUUGGGUGGUUCCAUAUCUUGACUAUUGUGAAGAAUGCUGCGUGAAAAUAGAAGUGCAGCCUGAGCUUUUGCUGCGAUCUCCAAAAAAUCAUUGCCAG